AUUGAACGCUGGCGGCAUGCUUUACACAUGCAAGUCGAACGGUAACAGGCCGCAAGGUGCUGACGAGUGGCGAACGGGUGAGUAAUGCAUCGGAACGUGCCCAGUCGUGGGGGAUAACUACUCGAAAGAGUAGCUAAUACCGCAUACGAUCUAUGGAUGAAAGCGGGGGACCGUAAGGCCUCGCGCGAUUGGAGCGGCCGAUGUCAGAUUAGGUAGUUGGUGGGGUAAAGGCUCACCAAGCCAACGAUCGGUAGCUGGUCUGAGAGGACGACCAGCCACACUGGGACUGAGACACGGCCCAGACUCCUACGGGAGGCAGCAGUGGGGAAUUUUGGACAAUGGGCGCAAGCCUGAUCCAGCAAUGCCGCGUGCAGGAAGAAGGCCUUCGGGUUGUAAACUGCUUUUGUACGGAACGAAACGGCUCUGGUUAAUACCCGGGGCUAAUGACGGUACCGUAAGAAUAAGCACCGGCUAACUACGUG
rnacentral:rRNA from 1 species